rnacentral:lncRNA from 1 species
GUAAAUUUUUAUUAAAAAAUAUAUAUAUGUAUUUGAACAGUUAAGUGCACUUAAAUUGCAUACAAUAACACCAUGUUUCUUGGAGUAAUGCAUAAGUAUACAUGUUUGCUCUUGCUUGAAGGUGUAGGCGUGUAAAGUUAGACUGGGAUAAUUCUCUUUCAUUAAAUGCACUGUAUUGCUAAAAAUUUAGGAGAUAAGAAGAGAAAUGUGCGCUUCUAAAGGGAGUUUUUCCAUCCAGCGAAAUGGUCGAUUGUAUCACGCAAAACGCGAAAGAACGGCGCGAAUUUUAGAUAUGUUUUUUGAAAUUUCUUCCAGAGAGAGAUAUCACAUUCAGCAGCUUUUUAUCUCUUGGCUCUCUUUUAUAACUUGCCAAGCGAUGCUAACAAGUCUCACUGUUGACUAUGGCAGCCACUCUUCUUUUGCACAAUUUUCGUCAAUUUUAUAAAAAAAAAAAAAAAAUUUAUACUUCGAG